rnacentral:tRNA from 1 species
GGAGAGGUGCCAGAGUGGCCGAAUGGACUUGACUCGAAAUCAAGAGACUCUAAUCUCAGGGUCCCAGGGUUCGAAUCCCUGCCUCUCCG